rnacentral:rRNA from 1 species
UACGUAGGCAGCAAGCGUUGUUCGGAAUUACUGGGCGUAAAGAGUGUGUAGGCGGUGCUCUAAGUUCGGUGUGAAAUCUCCCGGCCCAACUGGGAGGGUGCGCCGGAAACUGGGGUGCUGGAGCGCGGGAGAGGAAAGCGGAAUUCCUGGUGUAGCGGUGAAAUGCGUAGAUAUCAGGAGGAACACCGGCGGUGUAGACGGCUUUCUGGACCGUAGCUGACGCUGAGACACGAAAGCGUGGGUAGCAAACAGG